AGAGUUUGAUCCUGGCUCAGAUUGAACGCUGGCGGCAGGCCUAACACAUGCAAGUCGAACGGUAACAGGAAGCAGCUUGCUGCUUUGCUGACGAGUGGCGGACGGGCGAGUAAUGUCUGGGAAACUGCCCGAUGGAGGGGGAUAACUACUGGAAACGGUAGCUAAUACCGCAUAACGUCGCAAGACCAAAGAGGGGGACCUUCGGGCCUCUUACCAUCGGAUGUGCCCAGAUGGGAUUAGCUAGUUGGUGAGGUAACGGCUCACCAAGGCGACGAUCCCUAGCUGGUCUGAGAGGAUGACCAGCCACACUGGAACUGAGACACGGUCCAGACUCCUACGGGAGGCAGCAGUGGGGAAUAUUGCACAAUGGGCGCAAGCCUGAUGCAGCCAUGCCGCGUGUAUGAAGAAGGCCUUCGGGUUGUAAAGUACUUUCAGCGGGGAGGAAGGGGAUGUGGUUAAUAACCGCGUUCAUUGACGUUACCCGCAGAAGAAGCACCGGCUAACUCCGUGCCAGCAGCCGCGGUAAUA
rnacentral:rRNA from 1 species